GACGAACGCUGGCGGCGUGCCUAACACAUGCAAGUCGAACGAAGCUUGACGAACGAUUCUUCGGAUGAAUUCUGAUAUGACUGAGUGGCGGACGGGUGAGUAACGCGUGAGCAACCUGCCCUUCAGAGGGGGAUAGUGUCUGGAAACGGACAGUAAUACCGCAUAAGCGCACGGCAUCGCAUGAUGCAGUGUGAAAAACUCCGGUGGUGUGAGAUGGAUCCGCGUCUGAUUAGGUAGUUGGUGGGGUAACGGCCCACCAAGCCGACGAUCAGUAGCCGACCUGAGAGGGUGACCGGCCACAUUGGGACUGAGACACGGCCCAAAACUCCUAACGGGAGCAGCAGUGGGGAAUAUUGCACAAUGGGCGAAAGCCUGAUGCAGCGACGCCGCGUGAGUGAAGAAGUAUCUCGGUAUGUAAAGCUCUAUCAGCAGGGAAGAAAAUGACGGUACCUGACUAAGAAGCCCCGG
rnacentral:rRNA from 1 species